GUGUUGAUUACGUCCCUGCUCUUUGUACACACCGCCCGUCGCUCCUACCGAUCGAGUGUUUAGGUGAAAUUGAUAGACGUAAGGAAGUCAAUUAAAUCUGGACACUUAGAGGAAGGAGAAGUCGUAACAAGGUUUCCGUAGGUG
rnacentral:rRNA from 1 species